GUAGUUAAUUAUUAUUACUCAGUACUUAAAUGUAUAAUUACACUGUAAUACUGACACCUUAAAAUAAAGUGUAACCGUAUUUUCUUAUACAGAUACACACUUUAUGCAGUGUAGGUACCUUGAAUACAGCUGCGCCAGUACUGGCAUUGGCACCCAGGCCGAUUGUUGUGCCUGUACCCUGAGAGUAUCUGCACUUUCAAUACACCAGGUUUGUUCAGAGUUCCAAAGGAUCACUUGUGUGGACCUCAAAACAACAUUUCACAUGACCUCUUUUUUUUUUUUUGGCUUAUAUAAAUUUGCUUUUAAAAAACAAGCAAAUGUAUUUCACAAAAAUGGUUAACACACAAGUCCCACUUUACUUAACAUGACACAGAAUGUAAGAAUAUGACUAAAAAGUAAGAAUAUGACUAAUACAGAUGAAUAAAUAGUAUAUAAGGCUAUUAAAUAGCAGUCACAUGAUAGUUAAUACAAUAAAGUUAGUAAGGCAUAAGCCACCACAGUCAUUUAAAAAUAUACAAAAGAACACAAAAUGUAAAUAAAGUGGCAUUUUGGGGUUAUGGAAACAGUUGCCAUGGUAAAUACACAAUGCUAACAUGAACUGUUAAAACAUCUGGAAACUGCUCCUGAUGAAUAGAUGGAACAUCAUACCAGCAUGCAAAUCCUUCCCAGCUAACACACAACAUACCAGACAAUGUUAUUGUUUAAGUUAAGGUAUAAGUUUAUGUAACAAUAUUUCUUGAUACUAAUUUUCAAUAGCAUUUUUUUGUUUACUCAACUUCAGACAUUGAGUUCGACAGACAAAAAAAUGUUGAAUUGGCUCAACUUAAAAAGAUUUGUUAUAGAAUAACAGUUUCCCCAGAAAACUAACAAUGUUAACUCAACUAAACAUUUUUUGUAUCACAGACAACUUAUUUUCAGUUAGUAUAACUGUUAACUUAUUUGCAAAAGUUGAGUAAACAAGAAAAAGCUAAGGGAAAUUAGUUCUAAGAUUUUUUGUUGUUGUUGUUGUACGGGCUUAACAAUGUUUUACAGUGUGCAUAAUUAACUUUCUCCAGGGAGAAAGGCAAUAAUUUAGAGAAAAAUGGUGGUGGUGACUGUGGGAACAUCAGUUACUUCAACUGAAGGACAUCAAUUCAGUGGAAAAAAGGCCAUCAAGACAGUAUUAUCCAUGUGGAAAAGCUUUUCAUCUAGAGAAGCAAUUGCCUGUACAAAAUCCACGGAUUGUGUUCCUGCAAAACAAAACAACAGAAAAAAAACACAACACAAAAUGUUUUUAAGAUCACGAGAAACAAGUAAGUUUCUAACAAAUACGUUUUUUAAACUUUUGAUUCUAUUGUACAUAGUGUUGUUGGGUCAAAACAAAGCAACACAUAUUAAAAAACAAACAAACAAACAAAACAACAACAACACAAACAAGACAUUUUUUAAGAACAUGAGAAACACAUAGUUUUCGAAUAACUUUUGCCGAAACUUUUGACUUUGUUGUACAUAGUUGGCUGUCGGGUCACCUGGGGUUCUUCUACAAAAACAAAACAAAAACUAACAAACAAACAAAAAACACAAAAACAAAACAAAAACUAAACGAAAAACAAAAGAACACAACAACAACAACAACAAAAAACUAAGCGAAAAGUUUUUAAGAUCAUGGUAAACAAUUGUUUCUAACAAAUAAGUUUGCCUAAACUUUUGACUCUGUUGUGCAGUGUAUUGUCGGGCCACCUGUGGGUCUUCUACAAAAACAAAACAAAAACAAAAAAAAAUGGGGUUCAAGCAUUUUAAGGCCUUUAAGUACAUGCGUAAAUAGAUUUUUUGUUUUAUUUAGCAAGCCUAUAACCAUCUCAAUCAUACAUGGAAAAGACUAUUUACAGCAAUACAGGGAAUUUACCAUAGGAAAUAUAUGGUUUUUAAAGCUUUUUAUCAGUUAUCAAGGUUGAGCCAAAAACAUACUAUAGGUCUAGUUCACCAAAGUUGGUUUUUGAAAUAAUGCUCAAAAUUCAUUGGCCGAUGGCGGACAUGUUUUUCGAGAUACCUUAAUGUCCUCAUAAACAAUCAUGGCACCUUGGACAAAGACACUGCAUGCCAAUUUUCAAGUCGAUCGGACUAAUGGUGAAGUAAUUAUAGCCAUUUUUGUGUUUUUUUUGUUUUUGUCUGUUUUCACGCGACCACAGAAUGAACUCUUACAUAGGUGUCCUGAGUUUGGUGAAAAUAUCUCAUUCCGUUCACAAGUUAUAGCCAUUUUCGUAAAAGUUGCUCCGGCCACUUCAAACGUUUUGGCGGCCCUUAGGGGAGAAUGCUGAUCCUUAGAAAAUUUAACAAUGACAAUAGGGUUUCAGCGCUACGCACUUGAAACCCUAACGACAAAAGACAACAACUAAACAAAAACAAAUCACAACAAAACAAAAUGUUUUUAAGAUCACGAUAAACAAUUAUGUAACAAAUAUCAAAUACGUUGGCCUAAGCGUUUUUUGCUAAUUGUAAAGGGGUCUUCAACAGCACAAAUCAAAUUAUGAAAUGCCGAGUGACCAUUCAUUUGCAUCAGGCAGCAGUGAAGCAUCAGUGAAGCAGCUGUGGACAGAGCCUGGACUCUGUGCUGGGAAAAUGAGAGGCGUGGGUCAGCGUGGGCCAGCUGGACACAGACACACACCCACAGGAACUGAAUGUCCUGCUAAACUAAUCAGCAACCCUCACACACUGUAAAGUACAACACAUCCUCCAAACACAAGGCGUCACACCCAUAUGAGAUAAUCCAGUGACGAAAGAACACAAGAAUGGAGAGAAGGAAUCACUGAAUAAGAUGUCGAAAUAUAAUAUCUAGUCAAACAUACUUUAAAGGGACAGUUCACCAAAAAAUACAAAUCAGUCAUCAUUUCCUCACACUCAUGUCAUUCCAAACAUGUAUGACCUUCUUUCUUCCAUGGACACAAAUGAGAAAUUCUGGAGAAGCAUUUUCAUUCAACAAUCUUUCGGGAUUUCAAUCUAAAGUAAAUAUUGACAGAAUGUUAAUUUUUGUGUAAACUACUCAAAAAUUGAAAGAGUAAAUAAUGAAUAAACAUAAGGCUGAUCAAAUGUUGCUAAGAAGAUUUAGAGUCCAAGUUAGACUCAGUCCAAGACAUCUGCACAUGUUUGCAUCCCAUGUGACACCAGCGCUUGUGGAAGUUGCAGUGUUUUGGCAGAGUAAAGCAGCAGUUGAGGGCUGGAAUCUGCUUCCCCUCUCCAGCCUCUGCAGCGCUGAUCUGAGAAACAAAAGAGAAGAAGAUCCGGUGUCCGAUCUUAUCCAUCAUGCCCCAUUGCCACACACUGAACCCUUGGCACCUUGUUGGUCUUGAUGGAUGAGGUCGGUCGGACCCUGAAUAUUCAUAUUCUCCUCUUUCACCCCCCACAGGGUCGAACAGGACAGAUUAAGUCUUAAGACAGAGUGGAGUUGCAUUCCUGCAUGAACCGGAUGACACAGUUUAAAAUACUCACAUUAUCACAUGAACUAAUGACUCAUUACUUUCAAUGAAAUUAGAAAAUACUUGAGCAAUAAGGUGUUUUAUGAUUGCUGCACUGAUUGAUCAGAAUAUGAAGCAAAGCAAAGAAAUGUCAAUGGCAGUCUAGUGCUGACAGGAAAUAUUUACUAAGGAUAAAAUGUAUUUCAGAGGGUUUGUUCAUAACAGACAGCUUAGAUGGAUACAAAAAGGCAGAAUAUUUUUACGUUCCUCAAUCCUGCUGGCAGUUUCUGAUGGAUUAAUUGGGUAGUAAUGACAGCUCCAUGUUAAAGCCCACACAGACACACACACAGACACACACACACACACACACACACACACACACACACACACACACACACACACACACACACCAGCAGGCUGUCGUAAUCCUGACCCAACAGCCAUGACAGAUAUAGUCAGCGCUGACACAUCUCCUCUAUCCCCAGACACCUGGUCUCCUAUACUUUCUCAUGGAAAACCCCCCUUCAUGACCCUUUCCCAAGAAUCCCUUAUUGUCUGAUAAUGGAAAAUUAGACAACAGCUGACAGACUGUUAAAUAAAUAAAGGCCUCUAUACGAAUAAAAGAACAGUUCAUCCCAAAAUUCCCAAAGAUCUGUCAUCAUGUUGUUGCAAGUCUGGAUGCUGUUGUGAGAUUCUUUAAGCUGCUCUUUUCCAUAAAACAAAAGUUCAUAGCGACCAUGGCACCAUAAAAUAGUCUAUAACUCUUCUGAAGUCAUAGGACAGCUUUUUUUUGUGAGGAAAACACUGAAAUAGUCAAUCAUAUUUUGUUCAUGUUCAGAUUUUAGAAUGGUGUGGCACAAUUUGAAGUUAUUAAUGUCAAAUACCCACUGGUUUUGUGCUGUAACCAAAUGCAGGUCUGAGUUUGGGAAAAGUCUGAAACGAGAUUGAGAUUUUCAGUGAAUAAAAUUUUAAAUUUGGCCUGUUCAUCAAGAUAAAAUACAAAAAUCAAUCAUUGAGUGCUUUAUGAGGUUUCUUGAUUCUUCAAAAAUCCUCCUUUUCCGUUCCAUACACAAACAACAGCAUACAGGUUUGGAACGACACAAAGUUGAAUAAAUAAUGACAGAAUUAUCAUGUUUGAGGCAACUUUCACUCAAAUGAGCACACAGAACGCAGGCCCUAACCACACUGAGCAUUCAUAAAGGAAAUAUGUAACUAAUAUGCAGAACUAACCUGCAGUGCCAUAGGCCUAAAUAUAACAACAUAGAGCAAAGGAUUAUAGGUAACUCAGGGUACGUUUACACGACAAUGAUGUACUAAAAGCGGAAAAGUUUUACCUUUGUAUUUUUCGCAUACAGACGACAACGUUGUCAAAACGAUCCCCGUUCACGCGGAUCCGUGAAAACGACCAAAAAUGCUGUAUUAUGCUGCCAGGCCAGUAGUUGGCGAUGUCAAUUUAUAAAGAAAUACUACGCACCUAUAGACUGAACACGUAAUAUGCAUGAUGUUACCUCGUUUUCACAAAUUCGCAUUUUUGUGGUUUACAUGCAGACGAUAACGGUAUCAUUAACGGUAUCGCACAUUUUGAAACCCGUUUUCAAAAGUUUGUGUUUUCAGGCUGCCAAAAUGCCGUUGUCGUGUAAAUGAAUGGCAAAAAAAAAAAUGGUGUAGUGUAAACAGUCUCUCAGUGACACACCCAAAACUGAAGGUCAUCUUCACAGAAAUAUCCACAGCAAAGCAAAAAAAAAUUCAGGUGGGAUCUGUUUGCAAUUAUGCAGAAAUUACACCUUGAAGCACAACAAAAAUCAACACAAGAUCAUUGGAAAAACAUACCUCUACCUUCAUUUUUGCAAAACUUCAAAAACAUACCUACUUUACACACAAUUCCCUGGAUUUUCCCGCUGAAAUUAUCGUUUAAUAAUUUUACGUGGUUCCUUUCCCAAUGCUAUGUUAUGACCUCAAAACACUUUUACCAUAGUGCAUGAUUUGUAAAUUGAUACAUUUUGAUGUUUACAUCACAUAACCAGCUUCACAUGUGGCUUUUCUGAUGUAGUAAACUUGCUCGGUAGCUCACCUGAUACAGCAUUGCACUUGCGAUGAUAUAAACGUGAUUUUUAUAUCACGUUUGCUUUUGUUAACACUAUCAGGUUUAAUGUAGCUGCUUAAUUUCAAAUGCAAUAGAGCAUUAACCUUUUAGUGACACUCACCGAACAUUUCAUUUCUGAACUACCACGAUAAAUACAACAACCAUAAUAAAGUGUUGCCAGAUUCAUCUGUUUUGGAUAAAUCUGAAUGUGCAUUUCGCUUUGAAAGUCAAGCCACCUUUAUUUAUUUAGUUCUUUAUACAAUACAGAUUGUUUCAAAGCAGCUUUACGGUGAUCAACAGGAAAAUAAUGAUUCAAUGAAGCCAGCAGAAUUCAGAGGUCAGUUCAGUGUUGCUUCAGUUCCAUUCAAAAACUGUGUAAAGAUCAUCAAUUAUGAAAUGAGUUUGAUUCAUCUAAAGCAGCUCUGCAGAAAAUAGUGGUCAUCAUCCAACUCUCAUCUCACUGUCAGAGCCCUAAAAAAAGCGUGAAUUGUGCAAAAAGCAACGUAAUAUGCUGCCGAAAUGUCGCCAAAGGCAUGUUUUUCCAAUGAGCCUGGGUUGACUCCCUUUUAAGUCGCUGAAAGCAUAAUCAAAUUCUCGGAACUUUCUGCGGCUGCAGAUUUCAUGUGCUAAUUAGCUGCUUCCUUUUUCUAUCCCUAUGUCCAGUAUCAGCAGCAUCAGGAAGCUUGUCAGCACAGACACAUGUGAGCCAGGCUAGCCUCAUCAAAUACCGGCGAACAAAGGGAACAACACACUCACACACGUCCGUUUGUGUAAGAAGUUUAUUAGCAUACUCCCAUUUAGUGUGCAAGUGCAUCACAGAGUAACUGUAAAUAGAAGACGGUGUUCAUGCAGAGGUCACAUAGCUCCAGUCAUGAGCGUGUGAUGAGUUCGAUCAUUGCACAACUACUGUAUGAAACUGUGUCAACACAAAUCUAGCACAAAUCAGUCCACACCUUCUCCUCCCCCAGUUAAUACUACAUGAAAAACAGUGCCUGGAGGAAAAAAAAUAUAGUAUGUACAACAUUCAUGAAGCAAAUCCAUUGUGCUUCAAAAUAACUGUGUUCUGCAGGGAAAAUGAAAGAACGAGAACCAGAGAGUGACAUCACAAAUGCUGUUAACACAGAUUAAAAGGUGGUUAUUUGAGGUGCAGGUGGGUGUUUUGACAUCUGCUUGAGGAGUCUGAGGAACAUGGAAGACUUUAGGACUUUAUGUUAUUGCCUGAACAAAAGCACUACACGGAUAGCUCCAUAUCCCAGGAAAAAAAAACAUUUACCGACAGCUUUCAGCAUACUUCUGAGAAGUCUAGACGCUUUAUCUUAUCAUUGUUUUACGCAGUAGGUCAAAUGACACAAGCGGGUCAGCUGGAGGUGAAUUUAUAACGUUUAGCCGAUCUUUCAUUACACCAGCAGAACACUGCAGUCAAUGGAUGGACUUAAACACAUAAUGGAAAUCAUUAAAAACGGAUGUUCCUAUCAGUUUAAGCACUGAUUUGAUUGUGAGGAUUCAGGAUGGGGAUAAGCAUCAACUGUUUUGAACAUAAUAAUAAUAAUAAUAAUAAUAAUAAUAGCAAUAAUAGUGCAUGAGCAUCAAAGUAGCAUAUUAGAAUGAUUUCUGAAAGAUCAUAAUAUAUGUUAAAUUCAGCUUUGCCAUCACAGGAAUAUAUUACAUUUUAAAAUAUGUUAAAAUAGAAAACAGUUAUUUUAAAUUGUAAUAAUAUUCCACAAUAUUUCCACAAUAUGUCUUUACUGUAUUUUUAAUCAAAUAAAUGCAGCUUUUGUGAGCAAAAGAGACUUUUU